CAGUGCAUCAGGAAGGGGAGCGUCCUCAGUUUCACAUCAUGCUUUGCGCCAUUCUUCUCCUUCCACUUAUUACUUAUUGCUCAGCCCAGGAUAGAAAUGGGAGGAUCUUCCAGUACUUAUGCAGCCAAUGAACAAGGAGCACGUGUAUUUGCAUACCGAGAGAGAUCAUAAGUCCUGGAGCACUUUAAGAUUGACAGAGAGGGUGUCAACCAGAGCUACUGUGCUUCAGCCGACUGAGAAUUCUCAAUUUCCAAUCAUGCCUUGGGCCAUUCUUCUCCUUCUCCUUCUUACUUACUGCUCAGGUGCCGUCUCACAGCCUGUACUGACUCAGGCUCCCUCCCAGUCUGUGACUCUGAGAAACACAGCGAGACUCUCCUGCAGUCUGAGCAG